rnacentral:lncRNA from 1 species
UUCAAUGUGGAAUUUAUUCUUGUUUAACUCAGGAGGAGGUUUAAAUAAUACUGAUUUAGGAAUGGGAGAUAUAGUAGGUGUUUCCUUGGAUACUAUUCUUUCUAUUCUUUCAGUUUGCUUUCCAAGGGAUUGUAGAUAUAGGUUUGUAUAAUUAUUUUGUUCUACAAUAUGAGGUAUGUACUCUUGUUUUUUAUUGAUUUCUUUAGGUAUGGCUUUGUAUGGG